ensembl:lincRNA Mirg miRNA containing gene
CUCUGCCUCAGAGGUCUUCUCAAGCCACUAUUGUUCCCAAGGAUGCCUAAUUGCAAUGCCAGCUUCUGGGGUGAACAUGGACCCACUGUCAUCGGGCAAGGUCUAGGAUGGACAUGGAGACCCACCAUCUGGGAGAUUCCAGAGUGGACGUGAACCCACCAUCAUCAGGCAGCUUCAUGGAGUAUUCAGAAGCUGGCGGGUGUCACCUGGAGGAUGUGACUGGGUACCAGUGCCAGAGCACGUGCCCACUGAGCAGUCUUCUUCACUUUCCUCGAUCCUCAUGAAACAUUCCGGGAUCUUUACCUCAAAGGACUCCAGAGGCUACAUCAUUGUCUUGGAACUGGUCAGUGGCUGGAGCUCUCUCCAGGACAAGUGCUUGGAGGAAGAACCUGGACAAGCUUCCCUCCCCAUACUGUUGACUGGAUCUUGUAGCUACCGUUAGCCACCAUCAUCGCCAUUGUGUGCCUCUUAGGAGCAUUUCCAGGAGGUGAUGCCAGCUGGGGAAAGAGCCUCUGUCCCACAGCCGUCGGUGCCCGCUGCAGCCUGCGCCCAGGAUGUCACAGCCUCAGCUCAACACCUCUGCUGGACAGCUUCAGGUGGUGAUUCCAGCUCCAGGGUUGCUGCGGUCAACACUGGGUACUUGAGGAGAGGUUGUCUGUGAUGAGUUCGCUUUAUUAAUGACGAAUAUAACACAGAUGGCCUGUUUUCAAUACCACCUGCCACUCCGGUCACUCGGCAGUACAUACCAGGUGUCACACCACUGCCCGGCAGGUGACAACGCUGAAUUGGUCCUCAGGAGCGAAUUGGUCCUCAGGAGCGGAUGUUCAAGGAACCCUGCCUAUGCACCAUGCUAGCUGCCAGUCCUAGGUUGGGACAUUCCACUGGGGACAUCCAUGGGAGAGCUAUGGCCAUUAACAAGUCCUGAGCCCUGACCUGAAGCCAUCAGUGGCCUAGCUGCUCUACCUGACUUUGUGGCCUCCCUUCCUGGAUCUCUCGCUUACGACAACCGACAACAAAGAUGUUUGACUCCAGAAGAUGCUCCCCGCGGCCCACCUGAGAGGACUGUCCACACCCCACCCCACUGCGCCCUGUGCCAUCUACCUCUGAGUCCCCAACUUCUCACCCAUGUUUCAACUCCCACCCCAGAGCCUUGUAUUCCAGAUCUGAGCAGCCCUUGCUUAGGAACCUGAGGUGGGGGGUGGGUAGGCAGACCCAGGGGACUGAGCAGGGAGGGGAAGGAGGGGUUUCUGCUCUUGGCUUUCAAAGUUCUCAGUGUGUGUAGCCCUUUGAAUAAUAAACAUAUGUCAUAUAAUGUAAA